rnacentral:rRNA from 1 species
ACGCUCGACACCUACGGGAGCAGCAGUGGGGAAUAUUGCACAAUGGGGGAAACCCUGAUGCAGCGACGCCGCGUGGAGGAAGAAGGUCUUCGGAUUGUAAACUCCUGUUGUUGGGGAAAAAGAGGAUGGUACCCAACAAGGAAGUGACGGCUAACUACGUGCCAACAGCCGCGGUAAUCUGAGCGGGCUGGCAAGGC